UACAGAGGGUGCGAGCGUUGUCCGGAAUCACUGGGCGUAAAGGGCGCGUAGGCGGCCUGAUAAGUCGGGGGUGAAAUCCUGUGGCUUAACCACAGGGCUGCCUCCGAGACUGUCGGGCUCGAGCACAGUAGAGGCAGGUGGAAUUCCCGGUGUAGCGGUGAAAUGCGUAGGUAUCGGGAGGAACAUCAGUGGCGAAGGCGGCUACCUGGCCCAAUACUGACACUCAGGUGCGACAGCGUGGGGAGCAAACAGG
rnacentral:rRNA from 1 species